CUUUUUUUUUUUUUUUUAACAAGUUCUUUACUCCCAAUUCCCAUUCUCGGCAUUAAGUUGAAACGUUUGCACUUUGUCCAUGACAACACACAAGAACGACUUAAAAAAAACAACAACCAAUUAGAUAAUUUAUUAGUGGUAAUUAAUAAAUUAGUUUUGUUUUAAAAAGAAAAAGGGAGAUAAAUAUUACAUUAUUGAACGAUAUGGCAGUAAUUGAGCAGUUUUUUCCCUUGUAUUAACUUUAAAAAAUGCUUGGUAAAAUUUUGCUUUGUAGUUUGUACUAAUGCUUGCUUUAUACACGCCAUUCUGUUUGUUUGUGAUCGAGAGACUAACGUGGAAGAGAAAUAUAAUCUCAUCUAUCUAUCUGUCUGUCUAUCUAUCUAUCUCAUCUAUCU